GAGAAGAACGUAGCGAAAUGCGAUAAGUAAUGUGAAUUGCAGAAUUCAGUGAAUCAUCGAAUCUUUGAACGCACAUUGCGCCCGCCAGUAUUCUGGCGGGCAUGCCUGUCUGAGCGUCAUUUCAACCCUCAUGCCCCUAGGGCGUGGUGUUGGGGAUCGGCCAAAGCCCGCGAGGGACGGCCGGCCCCUAAAUCUAGUGGCGGACCCGUCGUGGCCUCCUCUGCGAAGUAGUGAUAUUCCGCAUCGGAGAGCGAUGAGCCCCUGCCGUUAAACCCCCAACUUUCCAAGGUUGACCUCAGAUCAGGUAGGAAUACCCGCUGAACUUAAGCAUAUCAAUAAGCGGAGGA
rnacentral:misc_RNA from 1 species